GAUGAACGCUGGCGGCGCGCCUAAUACAUGCAAGUCGAGCGAACGGACGAGAAGCUUGCUUCUCUGAUGUUAGCGGCGGACGGGUGAGUAACACGUGGAUAACCUACCUAUAAGACUGGGAUAACUUCGGGAAACCGGAGCUAAUACCGGAUAAUAUUUUGAACCGCAUGGUUCAAAAGUGAAAGACGGUCUUGCUGUCACUUAUAGAUGGAUCCGCGCUGCAUUAGCUAGUUGGUAAGGUAACGGCUUACCAAGGCAACGAUGCAUAGCCGACCUGAGAGGGUGAUCGGCCACACUGGAACUGAGACACGGUCCAGACUCCUACGGGAGGCAGCAGUAGGGAAUAUUCCGCAAUGGGCGAAAGCCUGACGGAGCAACGCCGCGUGAGUGAUGAAGGUCUUCGGAUCGUAAAACUCUGUUAUUAGGGAAGAACAUAUGUGUAAGUAACUGUGCACAUCUUGACGGUACCUAAUCAGAAAGCCACGGCUAACUACGUG
rnacentral:rRNA from 1 species